rnacentral:sRNA from 3 species
GAGCGAUCAUAAGGGAGCUGACUGCAAAUCUGCCGUCAUCGACUUCAAGGUUCGACUCGAGCAAUAGUGAGAGAACGUUGCCGCAGGCAGCGGCCCGAAGGGUGAGGAGCUUUAGCUCCGAAUAAUCCUUCCCGCUAUAGAA